rnacentral:rRNA from 1 species
UACGUAGGGUGCGAGCGUUGUCCGGAAUUAUUGGGCGUAAAGGGCGCGUAGGCGGUUUGUUGCGUCUGGAGUGAAAACUCAGGGCUUAACUCUGAGCCUGCUUCCGAUACGGGCAGACUAGAGGUAUGCAGGGGAGAACGGAAUUCCUGGUGUAGCGGUGAAAUGCGCAGAUAUCAGGAGGAACACCAGUGGCGAAGGCGGUUCUCUGGGCAUUACCUGACGCUGAGGAGCGAAAGUGUGGGGAGCGAACAGG